UUAUUUCCUGUCAAACAGCAAGAGCACAGUGCUGAAUGAAUCUAUAACUACCACAGAACUCUUCUGUCAAAAUUCUUACAUGUACUAUUUCUUAAUAUGAAGGGACUGGAAAAAUCUUGAAGUUACAUGAAUCAAUGAUUUGUAUAUGUCCUGUGGCUUUUUGUCUAGCUGACUCCAGAUACUAGCAGGUGAACAUAGCACAGCAUUUUGCAGCUAAAGAAACAACUAAAAGAUGCUACACCAGCUUGGUGCUGCACAGUGACUUUGGCCCUGCAGGAAUGCGAGCGUAUGGAGAAUGGAAACUCACGGGUUAUCCUUAAGAGGAUUCAGGAGCUAAGAGGAUUCAUUCUCAGAUUCAGAAGUGAGGUGAGAAUGGAAGACAAAACAGCGCUGGGCCCCAGCAACACCUCGGCAGAGUGGCUGUCCCUGGCAACGCUGAGGCGGUCUGUGCCAGUUUUGGGCCACUUCUGUGCCGGGGCUUCUUUGAGCCCAGAAGAAUGUCAGGGGGGAGAUUUGGAAACCUUCCCUUAGCUCAGGAUGAAUGGCUGUCCACCGAACACACCCCCUCGCUCCCUCUCCCAUCCCCUCCAGCCUUGCUCCUCUACACACAGAAAACUGCAGCAGAAAACUGCGACAGGCCUGAGUUUGAGUUUUCACUUCUCCUAUGAGUCAUUAGAAACCCUAGUGAGAGUGCUGUCGCUAACAUCAUGCAGACGCUUCAUCCCAUCUGAUUCAUUCAGUUAAAGGACAUUUAGGGACAUGCAGUUUUGACCAACAUUCCUCAGAUGGAGAAUGUGAGCUGUCACAACUGUACAGGCAUCGGCUGUAAGCUAGCCAGCAAUAGACACACUGACUGUCUGAGGUGUCUGUGUGUUUGUGUUCAGCUCAGUCUCUCCCUGAACUCACCAGAAACUCCAGUUCUCUCUGUUAUUUAACCCCAAUGUUUCUUCUUUUUCCUCUCAUCUCUGAACAUUUAAAGCAAAUUGUUAAAUAGAUUUGUGCUCAAGUUGUAUCUGUCAGUUUGUGCUGCCCUGGUGAUUUUGUGUCUACUAGCAUCUUUCCAUUGACUUUUUAAGCAACUGUGUUGCCUCUAAAAUCCACUUUGUCUUCUGUCUGAACAUACAGCAAUAAUCAUGAUUGUGACAGAGAAAAGCAUUGCAUGCAUUUGAAGGUGUUUUGACAAAACUAAACAGAAGUAAAAAGUAACUCAAAGUUUGGUGCCUUUGUUGUAGUUUUACUAUUUUUUUGUUGUUAUCAUAUAGCCAGUGGAUAUACCUUCU